rnacentral:lncRNA from 1 species
GAGUGCAGCCCCAGCUCCUCCGCUCCAUCGGUGAUGUGGGCCGGUCUGAGCAGCCCACGAUGACACGCAGCGGUGGCCUGGGCCUUCCCAGGAGCUGAGGGAGAUUGUGCCUGUGGCCCAGGAACCAGCCUGGACUUGCAGAUGGGAAGAACUUGUCUUCCCAUAAAUUUGCACUGAUAGUAAAAGGAGGUGACUGUGAGAAGACUCUGAGCUUUACUUUAGAGUAAAAUCUCUCAACUUUGCUUUAGGUGGCACAAGUGUCCUUGCUGUUGGCCCUGACGGGUCCUGUGGGUGACAGAUAGUGCUGAAUCUGCCAUCCAUAACUUUCAGGAGCAGUAGAAGUUACAGCAGCAGCAGAGGGUUGAUUUCUAGAUAUCUCUCUUUUGAAAGAUUUUGCUUUUUGUGUCUCUCUGCCUCCUUUCCUCUGUCCCUCCUUCCCUCUUUCCUUGUUGACAGCCUUUUUCCCUUGGAGGAGCUGGAUUUGGUGCCCAGACCUGGCCAGUUCCACUGCUUCUGAAUCUGGGGUGUGUGUGUGUGCCCUGGGCUGUAUGUAUGUAUGAGGAGUUGUGCAGCCAGGGUGGCAACAGGAGAAAUCUUCACUUUUAUCUCAGUGUGAAUAUUGAAAACGUAGUCAUUGAAAACACCUAGCAAAAAGAAUUUGCAUUAAGUUUACGACAAUAUGAGAUUCAAAGAGAGGUCAGAUGGGACUUUGUUGCCCCUGACCCUCAAGGCAGUUCUGACCCUUGCAAUUGGGAUAGUUUGGCAGGACAAGCCAUGCUUGGUACCCCACCGUGGGGAUCUGCAGGGGGCUCCAGAGGGGAGCCGGUAGGUCUCCAGAGACAGUGCCCAGAGCAAGCAUGCAGGGUGCGAGGGCCACACUCAUGGCUCCCCCUGAGCUUCAGCUGGUCUGUGUUGGACAGCUGAGGUGGCACUAGGCUCCUGUCAGGGAAAUUCAGAGCCAGGUGGCCUGGACCAGAGGUUAGGGAGGUGACCAGCUGGGCGGAGAACUGAGCUGAAGCCAGGACGGAACGAGGCACAAAAGGCAGGAGCCUGUGAGCCAGUUUCUACACCUGGCACCUGGGCAUGCAUGGCCCUGGCAUGUUUGCCAAAACCUGGCUUGAUUUGUGUUGAUCAGAGGGCAAGGAGGCCUGAUCCCUGGGCAGGGCUCCUGGCUUUCACAGGGGGCAGGUCAGGGUGGGUUCUGGGCCCUGCAUGGAGGCUGGAGGUUCUGGCAGACCCUGUGCUUUGGAGGGCCAGGCUAGGGGUUUGGAAGGAGCCCAGUCCUCUGCUCUGGCUCCCCUUUGUCCUCCGGGGGCCAGGAGAGUGGUGGG